GUGUCAGCCGCCGCGGUAACACGGGGGGAGCAAGCGUUGUUCGGAAUCACUGGGCGUAAAGGGCGUGUAGGCGGCCAAGUAAGUGAGAUGUGAAAUUCCCCGGCUCACCCGGGGACCUGCAUCUCAUACUGCCUGGCUUGAGUACGGGAGAGGAUGAGGGAAUUCCUGGUGUAGCGGUGAAAUGCGUAGAUAUCAGGAGGAACACCGGUGGCGAAAGCGCUCAUCUGGCCCGAUACUGACGCUGAGGCGCGAAAGCUAGGGGAGCAAACGGGAUUAGAAACCCGAGUAGUCC
rnacentral:rRNA from 1 species